rnacentral:rRNA from 1 species
ACGGAAGGCAGCAGUGGGGAAUAUUGGACAAUGGGGGAAACCCUGAUCCAGCGACGCCGCGUGAGUGAAGAAGUAUUUCGGUAUGUAAAGCUCUAUCAGCAAGGAAGAAAAUGACGGUACUAGACUAAGAAGCUCCGGCUAAAUACGUGCCAGCAGCCGCGGUAAUACGUAUGGAGCAAGCGUUAUCCGGAUUUACUGGGUGUAAAGGGAGCGUAGACGGCAAAGCAAGUCUGAAGUGAAAUCCCGGGGCUCAACCCCGGAACUGCUUUGGAAACUGUUUAGCUAGAGUGCAGGAGAGGUAAGCGGAAUUCCUAGUGUAGCGGUGAAAUGCGUAGAUAUUAGGAGGAACACCAGUGGCGAAGGCGGCUUACUGGACUGUAACUGACGUUGAGGCUCGAAAGCGUGGGGAGCAAACAGGAUUAGAUACCCUGGUA